ACUCAAAUGAAUAGACGGGGGCUCACACAAGCGGUGGAGCAUGUUGCUUAAUUCGAAGCAACGCGAAGAACCUUACCUGGGUUUGACAUGUACGGAUUAGUUGGCGGAAACGUCAAUGACACCCGCAAGGGUGGAACGUGCACAGGUGCUGCAUGGCUGUCGUCAGCUCGUGCUGUGAAGUGUCGGGUUAAGUCCCUUAACGAGCGCAACCCCUGUCGCUAGUUGCCAGCGAGUAAUGUCGGGUACUCUAGCGAGACUGCCGGUGUCAAACCGGAGGAAGGCGGGGAUGACGUCAAGUCCUCAUGGCCCUUACAUCCAGGGUUGCAAACGUGCUACAAUGGCGCGUACAGAGCGACGCGAGGCCGCAAGGCGGAGCAAAUCGCAAAAAGCGCGCCCCAGUUCGGAUUGCAGGCUGCAACUCGCCUGCAUGAAGCCGGAAUCGCUAGUAAUCGGAGAUCAGCUACGCUCCGGUGAAUAAGUUCCUGAGCCUUGUACACACCGCCCGU
rnacentral:rRNA from 1 species